UCCUCCGUGGCGCAAUUGGCUAGCGCGUCUGACUGUUAAUCAGGAGGUUGGUGGGUAAGUCAAUCGCAUCCAAGAGAUAGUAUAUAGACGUCGCCGCUGACAUGCCCGAAGUUCGAGCCCACCCGGGGGAG